CAUUACUAAAGAUGGUUUGAGACUGCAUCCUUCUUGGGUGYGUGCUCGACCUUUUCAUCCACAUACACCUUUGUGCACCAUGGGGACGCAAGUCCCCCUUUUCACAAUAAACCCCUAGUUAUAAUGCAUGUCUUAUAAUACUCUAUAGAGUAAAAAUAAAACUUUCAGCAAUGGAUCUCUUGGCUUUCGCAUCGAUGAAGAACGCAGCGAACGUGCGAAACGUAAUGUGAAUUGCAGAAUUCAGUGAAUCAUCGAAUCUUUGAACGCAUCUUGCGCUCCUUGGUAUUCCGAGGAGCAUGCCUGUUUGAGUGUCGUGAAUAAACUCAAUUUCAAUCCUUUUUGUUUGAAAUUGGAUUUGGGUGUUGCUGUGGGUCACAGCUCGUCCUAAAUGCAUUAGCGAUCUGCCUUUGAUCACACGCAAUGUGAUAAGAAAAAAAGCAUUGUUAAGAUCAAGGUCAAGGUGGCUUCUAACCGUCGAAAAGACAACUAUGUCGUUUGACCUCAGAUCAGGUAGGACUACCCGCUGAACUUAAGCAUAUCAAUA
rnacentral:rRNA from 1 species